AUACAUUGAUAGAUAAUGCCAAAUACAAUCUUGUUUCAGCUUACAAACCCUUAUACGAAGACAUACACUAUCAUGACAAGGAUGUUUGACAAAAUGAAACAUUAGGUCUAUAGACUAAGAAAAUCAGCAAAUACAUGAUUAAAAAAUCAAAAACACCAAGCAUAUUACAUCCGUUCCUAUUUUUCCAAAUAUUAACUUGUCUUUUUAGAUCAGCCAUCUAUUUUUCAAGGUUAGAUAUCUUAGAUUUCAAAUUUUUCUUCUCCACCCGCAAGACCUACUUAUCAGCCUCCAACCUAUCAAUCCUUUUCUGCAAUUUAUGGAUAAUCUUGAAUGCAUGCCCAUCCAACUUCGGAUCUAACCAUUGAAAAUAAUUGUAAUCUCCACCAAUCUAAGAAAGAAAACAACCACGGCUGCAAUAUGGAUUCGUAAAUAUCCAUGAUCCUCAAAUCGAGUAAAACACAAAAAAAAAUCAAAUUCCUUACCUCAUAAUUAGGGCAUGCCCAAAAUCUCCUUCUUGAAUUCAUAGAUGUCUACGAUGUCUUUCUCACGGGUGCAAGACGGCAACGGCACAUCUUUGGGGUUGCACUAAUGGCUGACGUUCUCCUUUCCACAUGCUCGACGAGGAUAAACUCAUCUCUAAUCCGUCUGAAACCUAGGUAGGGAGAGGGAUAGAGACAGCAGGG
rnacentral:lncRNA from 1 species